rnacentral:ncRNA from 2 species
UACACUUGCGGCACUUUCGGUGCCCAUGCGCACGGUUCACGCGCGGGGUUAAACGGGAAACAGGGAGCGAAGUUCGCCACGAACUGGCCAACCUGUGCUGUCCCCGCAACGGUAAGCGACCCGCUUUUUUUGCACAUCGAACCGCCCACCGCCGCACGCGUUAGCGUGCGGCGGUGCGUGCCACUGCGCGUAGAGCGUGGGAAGGCCGGGCCGAUGCGUCGCCAGCCCGGAUACCGGCCGAGAGCGCGAAGCGCAU